rnacentral:rRNA from 1 species
GUAGCGAAAUUCCUUGUCGGGUAAGUUCCGACCUGCACGAAUGGCGUAACGACAGCGGCGCUGUCUCCACCCGAGACUCAGUGAAAUUGAAAUCGCUGUGAAGAUGCAGCGUUCCCGUGGCAAGACGGAAAGACCCCGUGAACCUUUACUAUAGCUUUACACUGAACGUUGAGUUCGUCUGUGUAGGAUAGGUGGGAGGCUUUGAAGUGUCGGCGCUAGCUGGCAUGGAGCCAUCCUUGAAAUACCACCCUGAUGUGCUUGACGUUCUAACCUAGGCCCGUAAUCCGGGUCGGGGACCGUGUAUGGUGGGUAGUUUGACUGGGGCGGUCUCCUCCUAAAGAGUAACGGAGGAGCUCGAAGGUACGCUCAGCGCGGUCGGACAUCGCGCACUGUGUGCAAAGGCAUAAGCGUGCUUGACUGCAAGAUCGACGGAUC